GACGAACGCUGGCGGCGUGCCUAAUACGUGCAAGUAGAACGCUGAAGGAGGAGCUUGCUCUUCUGGAUGAGUUGCGAACGGGUGAGUAACGCGUAGGUAACCUGCCUGGUAGCGGGGGAUAACUAUUGGAAACGAUAGCUAAUACCGCAUAAGAGUAGAUGUUGCAUGACAUUUACUUAAAAGGUGCAAUUGCAUCACUACCAGAUGGACCUGCGUUGUAUUAGCUAGUUGGUGGGGUAACGGCUUACCAAGGCGACGAUACAUAGCCGACCUGAGAGGGUGAUCGGCCACACUGGGACUGAGACACGGCCCAGACUCCUACGGGAGGCAGCAGUAGGGAAUCUUCGGCAAUGGACGGAAGUCUGACCGAGCAACGCCGCGUGAGUGAAGAAGGGUUUCGGAUCGUAAAGCUCUGUUGUAAGAGAAGAACGAGUGUGAGAGUGGAAAGUUCACACUGUGACGGUAUCUUACCAGAAAGGGACGGCUAACUACGUG
rnacentral:rRNA from 1 species